AUCCAGCAUCUCCAGAGCAUUACGAAAGUGCGAGAGUGAAGUAGAUACUCCAGUGGCUGUUGCUCCUCAACUCUUCACUCUCGAGGAUAUUAAGUUGAAAAUUCAAGUUUAUUAAGUAUAUUCAAAAAUCAUACUCACUACCUGCGCAUUGACUACAAGAACUUUUGGCAAUGUCAUCUGAAAAGUAAAAAAGAAUGACUAGUCUACCAUAAACGCUCUUCUCUUCCCGCUCAUACCCGAACAGUUAUUGACAAAUUUGGCUCAUCGAUAGGACCGAAUACGAGCAAGUGACAAACGAAAAGUAAAACGAAAAAAA
rnacentral:lncRNA from 1 species